AGUGUCUGUUCUGUGCAGUGCCUGCAAGUGGCAAGAAAGAUUGAGGAGAUUUGGCCACGUUCUGUCCCUGUACUCUGUACUCUGACGUCACGCAGUCAGGUGACGCUCCCACCUCCGUCAUCAGCAGAGGCCGGUGUUCUAGCUGGCAGUGCCGGAGGCGGUGUAGUAUGGUUCGCAGUGCCAGCUGGGUGUCCGGACAGUCCAUGCACACAGCUCCCUCUAGGACAGGGAAGCAGGGCGGCCGCAGAUCGUGAUUCCCCUCAUUGGACCCGCUUCUCCCAGUGCCCUCAGAUGAGGGGGCAGUGCGCGGCGCCGGCUUCCUGUUAGACUGCGGAGGUGGCAGCCUGGGGAACCCAGCAAUGGAGGAGAAGUACAGCAGCAAUGUGAUGAGCAGCGGCCGGCUGGGGCCAGUGGAUAACCCAGAGUCCAGGUCACUGGCUGUCAAUGAUUACUGUGCAGCUGUAAUGG